rnacentral:rRNA from 1 species
AUGUAUUGUGAAGGUUCUGGUCAGGCCAUCAACAAGGAAAAGUCAUGUAUCUUUUUUGGACGACACUGCCCGGAGGAGGUCAAGAACAGAGUUAAGAACCAGCUGGGGAUUUUCAAUGAGACUUUUCACGAUUCUUACUUGGGCAUGCCUACGGAGGUUGGUAACUCACCCACCAGCACCUUCAAAUUUUUGACGGACAGAGCCUGGCAGAAUAUUUUUGGGUGGUCAGAUCGGCUGUUGUCAAGGGCUGGGAAUGAGACGUUGCUGAAAUCUAUCACACAAGCUAUUCCAACCUUUGUCUCGAGCUGCUUUCGCCUUCCGGUUGCCACCCGUGAAAAAUUCAGGCAGAUUGUCUCCGAUCAGUGGUGGGGUAGAGAGGAUGGAAAGAAGAAGCUACAAUGGCGUUCCUGGUCAUGGUUGACAGCCCCUAAGUUUCUCGGGGGUAUGGGCUUUCGUGAUAUGGCGUUGUUCAAUCAGGCUCUUCUUGGUAAACAAGGAUGGAGGCUUCUUUUUGAACCAGGUUCGUUGUGCGCCCGUGUACUGAAAGGCAGAUAUUAUCCAAAUGGAAACUUCUGGAAUGCCUCCGUGCCCCGGUCUGCUUCGGCUACCUGGCGUGGUAUUAUUCAUGGCAGGGACCUGUUGAAGAGAGGGGUUCAGUGGGGUAUUGGCAACGGACGGGACACAAAAAUUCUGUCGGAUCACUGGAUUCCGUCUAUGCCUCCGGGUGUGCUGCAGCCCCUGUCGCCUAUUCCGCCCUCUGCUACGGUCCAUUGCCUUAUGCAGGAGGAAAGGGGGGAGUGGGACGCGGACACUAUCCGAGCCUUUUUCCCUGAUAGAGUGGCGGAUGACAUCUUGCAAAUCCCGAUCGCCAGGAGCGGUGGGAAUGAUUUCCCUCGAUGGCCUUUCACGAAGCUUGGUGUUUACACUGUCAAAUCUGCUUACAAUAUGGCACGAACUAACAGUUUUCUGAAUGCUAGGAGCAGGAAUGGCCUCGGCCAAGGCUCGAGAUGGCCGGACGAGGAGAAGUUGUGGAAAUCUUUAUGGCGUGUCAAAGUGCCCAACAAGAUGAAGAUCGUUUUGUGGCGUUUGGCUCACGACUGCCUCCCGUCUGGGGAACAAUUGUGGCGGCGCCAUGUCCCUGCCAGGACGGACUGCUGCUUUUGCGCUCGGCCGGAGAGUGUGGAACACACCCUGCUGUUCUGUCCUCACGCUCGCGCGGUGUGGGACGCGCUCAAGGACUCCUUCUGCAUCAGGCUCCGCCGGUCGUCCUUCUCUUCCCCCAGGCAGUGGCUUUUCGACACCCUGGCUGGCUGCUCUGACAAGGAAGCGACAAUUGUCACCGUCGCGUUAUGGCAUAUAUGUGAGGCGAGGAACGAGGCGAGGAAUGCACCGGUGCCACCUGCGCCGGCUUCUAUGGCGUCCAGGGCCAAGGUAUAUAUUGAUCUGAUUUUCCAACAUCUCUACAAACCAGUCCCUGUUUCCGGGCGUGGGAUUCCGUCUUCAGAGUGCAGUUGGGCUCCGCCGCCGCAGGGUUCAGUGGUGGCCUUUUCGGAUGCUGCGGUGUCUGGGGAAGGGCAGAAAUCUGGUUUACGGGUGGUGGUGCUGAACCAUGAGGGUGCUUGUGUUGCUGCUUGUUCUGAACCCAUGAGGGGUGCGAUAUCUCCUGAAGUGGCUGAAGCUUUUGCUCUCCGGCGUGCCGUCAAGCUUGCUCGUGAGAUAGGUUUUGAUGAUGUUAUCUUCAACACGGACUGUCUCUCUGUGGUGCAGCGCUUGCACUGUCCUGCCAGGGAUCAUUCGGUGGUAGGAUCCAUUGUUGCAGAUGUCAAAGAUUUGGCUAAUGGCCUUUCCUCUGUGGCUUUCCAACAUGUUCGUCGGCAGUACAAUGUUUUAGCUCAUAUCUUAGCUAGAUCAAGUUUGAUCUCGUCUAGUCUUUGUGUUUUUCUUUCUGCUCCGGAUUGCAUCCGGGAAACUCUAUGUAAAUUUGUUGCUUGA